AUUGAACGCUGGCGGCAUGCCUUACACAUGCAAGUCGAACGGCAGCAUGGAGAGCUUGCUCUCUGAUGGCGAGUGGCGAACGGGUGAGUAAUGCAUCGGAACGUACCGUGUAAUGGGGGAUAACGUAGCGAAAGUUACGCUAAUACCGCAUACGACCUGAGGGUGAAAGCAGGGGAUCGCAAGACCUUGCGUUAUACGAGCGGCCGAUGUCAGAUUAGCUAGUUGGUGAGGUAAAGGCUCACCAAGGCGACGAUCUGUAGCGGGUCUGAGAGGAUGAUCCGCCACACUGGGACUGAGACACGGCCCAGACUCCUACGGGAGGCAGCAGUGGGGAAUUUUGGACAAUGGGGGCAACCCUGAUCCAGCCAUGCCGCGUGAGUGAAGAAGGCCUUCGGGUUGUAAAGCUCUUUCGGCCGGGAAGAAAUCGCACAGGCUAAUACUCUGUGUGGAUGACGGUACCGGCAUAAGAAGCACCGGCUAACUACGUGCCAACAGCCGCUGUAAGAC
rnacentral:rRNA from 1 species